AAGGACGCCGCGCGCCGCUUGGGCCUUGCUCCUUCCUCCCAUUGGCUAUAACGGGAGGAGUGGCGGAGCGGCUCGUUCUCGGCCCGGGAAGUUGUUGCCUGCGGUGGCUCCGCGCCACAAUGUUGCGCGGCCUCGGGUGUCCCCUCUGCUUGCUCUUUCGGUGCCCACGGUCGGCUGCGGCUGCCCUGACCCGCGCUUACCAUGCAGACAGGGUGGCAACUGUGGGCUCGCAGCCCGACACCACCGCCGUGCUUUAUCAGGAAAACUAUGAGCGAAUGAAAGCGCUGGUGACAGAACUCCAACGGCAAGCAGAAAAAAUCCGACUGGGUGGUGGAGAGAAGGCACGGAGCCUUCACACGUCAAGAGGAAAGUUAUUACCCAGAGAGAGAAUUGACAGACUUAUAGAUCCUGGGUCUCCGUUCCUGGAGUUCUCACAGUUUGCAGGUUUCCAGCUAUAUGGCAGUGAAGAGGUUCCUGCAGGAGGCAUUAUUACAGGCAUUGGAUGCAUUUCAGGGGUGGAAUGUUUGAUUAUUGCCAAUGAUGCAACUGUCAAAGGUGGAACUUACUAUCCUGUCACAGUGAAGAAACAUCUACGGGCCCAAGAAAUUGCAAUGCAGAAUCAUCUCCCUUGUCUAUAUCUUGUUGAUUCUGGAGGUGCAAAUUUACCUCGCCAAGCAGAAGUGUUUCCUGAUCGUGAUCAUUUUGGUAGAAUUUUCUAUAACCAAGCAAUCAUGUCUUCAAGAAGAAUUCCACAGAUAGCCGUGGUUAUGGGAUCGUGCACAGCAGGAGGAGCCUAUGUACCCGCAAUGGCUGAUGAAAGUAUAAUAGUUGGCAAGCAGGGAACAAUUUUCUUGGGGGGACCACCAUUGGUUAAGGCAGCAACAGGGGAGGAGGUAUCAGCAGAAGAUCUUGGCGGUGCUGAUCUUCACUGCAGAAAAUCUGGAGUUACUGAUCACUAUGCUUUGAAUGAUGAUCAUGCACUUCAUUUGGCUAGAAAAGUGGUGAGAAGCUUGAAUUAUCAGAAAAAAGUAGAUGUAACAAUAGAACAUUCAGAAGAGCCUUUAUUUCCUGCUGAUGAACUGUAUGGCAUAGUUGGAGAACAGCUUAAAAGAAAUUUUGAUGUCCGAGAGGUCAUUGCUAGAAUUGUAGAUGGAAGUAAAUUUGAUGAAUUCAAGGCCUUAUACGGAGAUACAUUAAUUACAGGAUUCGCUAGGAUAUUUGGUUACCCCGUAGGAAUAAUUGGAAACAAUGGUGUUCUCUUCUCUGAAUCGGCAAAGAAGGGGACCCACUUCAUUCAGCUUUGUUGCCAGAGGAAUAUUCCCCUUGUGUUCUUGCAAAACAUCACAGGUUUCAUGGUGGGUAAAGAUUAUGAAGCUGGUGGAAUAGCAAAAGAUGGCGCCAAGAUGGUAACUGCUGUGGCAUGUGCCAGUGUACCAAAGAUAACAGUAAUUAUUGGAGGUUCCUAUGGUGCUGGAAAUUAUGGAAUGUGUGGAAGAGCAUAUAGUCCAAGAUUUCUUUUUAUGUGGCCAAAUGCUCGCAUCUCAGUGAUGGGAGGAGAGCAAGCAGCAACAGUCUUGGCUACAAUAGCGAAGGACCGAAAAGCAAGGGAAGGGAAGCAGUUAACGGAAGAAGAGGAAAAAGCCCUAAAAGAGCCAAUUAUCAGAAGGUUUGAAGAGGAAGGAAACCCUUACUAUUCCAGUGCACGUUCAAAAUAGAUGGUCCUGAAUGAAGAUGAUCUUAACAAGAGGCAUAAAUCAAGACUGCUUCAUUAGAAUUGGGAGAAAUAUGUGCAAGUAGAUCAGCUGAGGAUCUAGCCUUGCGUUUCUGUUGCAAAAUGUCAUCUGUCUCCCUGAGGCAGAAGAAGCAAAUGAGUGUUAUGGGAUGAUGGGAUUAUUGACCCAGCUGACACAAGACUGGUUUUGGGUCUCAGUUUAAGUGCUGCACUAAAUGCACCCACUAAGAAGACCGAGUUUGGAGUAUUCAGGAUGUGA